rnacentral:rRNA from 1 species
UACGUAGGGUGCGAGCGUUAAUCGGAAUUACUGGGCGUAAAGUGUGCGCAGGCGGCCGCGCAAGUCGAGUGUGAAAUCCCCGAGCUUAACUUGGGAAUUGCGCUCGAAACUACGUGGCUGGAGUGUGGCAGAGGAAGGUGGAAUUCCACGUGUAGCGGUGAAAUGCGUAGAGAUGUGGAGGAACACCGAUGGCGAAGGCAGCCUUCUGGGCCAACACUGACGCUCAUGCACGAAAGCGUGGGGGAGCAAACAGG